AACUCUGAGACAGGUGCUGCAUGGCUGUCGUCAGCUCGUGUUGUGAAAUGUUGGGUUAAGUCCCGCAACGAGCGCAACCCUUAUCCUUUGUUGCCAGCGGUCCGGCCGGGAACUCAAAGGAGACUGCCAGUGAUAAACUGGAGGAAGGUGGGGAUGACGUCAAGUCAUCAUGGCCCUUACGAGUAGGGCUACACACGUGCUACAA
rnacentral:rRNA from 1 species